rnacentral:rRNA from 1 species
CCACGGGUGAGUAACACGUAUCCAACCUGCCGUCUACUCUUGGACAGCCUUCUGAAAGGAAAGAUUAAUACAAGAUGGCAUCAUGAGUUCACAUGUUCACAUGAUUAAAGGUAUUCCGGUAGACGAUGGGGAUGCGUUCCAUUAGAUAGUAGGCGGGGUAACGGCCCACCUAGUCUUCGAUGGAUAGGGGUUCUGAGAGGAAGGUCCCCCACAUUGGAACUGAGACACGGACCAA